CUUAUAGUUUAUUUUUAUGGCAUCAUUUAAAUAAUAAAGUUUACGGUGUAAGAUGAGUAUGCGUCCCAUUAGUUUGUUGGUAAGGUAACGGCUUACCAAGACUACGAUGGGUAGGGGCCCUGAGAGGGGGAUCCCCCACACUGGUACUGAGACACGGACCAGACUCCUACGGGAGGCAGCAGUGAGGAAUAUUGGACAAUGGAGGAGACUCUGAUCCAGCCAUGCCGCGUGCAGGAAGACGGUCCUAUGGAUUGUAAACUGCUUUUAUACAGGAAGAAUAAGGACUACGUGUAGUCUGGUGACGGUACUGUAAGAAUAAGGACCGGCUAACUCCGUGCCAGCAGCCGCGGUAAUACGGAGGGUCCGAGCGUUAUCCGGAAUUAUUGGGUUUAAAGGGUCCGUAGGCGGGCUGUUAAGUCAGGGGUGAAAGUUUGCAGCUCAACUGUAGAAUUGCCUUUGAUACUGAUGGUCUUGAAUUAUUGUGAAGUGGUUAGAAUAUGUAGUGUAGCGGUGAAAUGCAUAGAUAUUACAUAGAAUACCGAUUGCGAAGGCAGAUCACUAACAAUUGAUUGACGCUGAUGGACGAAAGCGUGGGUAGCGAACAGGAUUAGAUACCCUGGUAGUCCACGCCGUAAACGAUGGAUACUAGCUGUUUGGAUUUCGAUCUGAGCGGCCAAGCGAAAGUGAUAAGUAUCCCACCUGGGGAGUACGUUCGCAAGAAUGAAACUCAAAGGAAUUGACGGGGGCCCGCACAAGCGGUGGAGCAUGUGGUUUAAUUCGAUGAUACGCGAGGAACCUUACCAGGGCUUAAAUGUAGAUUGACAGGUUUAGAGAUAGACUUUCCUUCGGGCAAUUUACAAGGUGCUGCAUGGUUGUCGUCAGCUCGUGCCGUGAGGUGUCAGGUUAAGUCCUAUAACGAGCGCAACCCCUGUUGUUAGUUACCAGCACAUUAUGGUGGGGACUCUAGCAAGACUGCCGGUGCAAACCGUGAGGAAGGUGGGGAUGACGUCAAAUCAUCACGGCCCUUACGUCCUGGGCCACACACGUGCUACAAUGGUAGGUACAGAGAGCAGCCA
rnacentral:rRNA from 1 species